rnacentral:rRNA from 1 species
UACGUAGGGGGCUAGCGUUGUCCGGAAUCAUUGGGCGUAAAGCGCGUGUAGGCGGCCCGGUAAGUCCGCUGUGAAAGUCGGGGGCUCAACCCCUCGGAUGCCGGUGGAUACUGUCGGGCUCGAGUACGGAAGAGGCGAGUGGAAUUCCCGGUGUAGCGGUGAAAUGCGCAGAUAUCGGGAGGAACACCAGUAGCGAAGGCGGCUCGCUGGGCCGUUCCUGACGCUGAGACGCGAAAGCUAGGGGAGCGAACAGG